GUGCCAGCCGCCGCGGUAAUACGUAGGGGGCAAGCGUUGUCCGGAUUUACUGGGCGUAAAGAGCGUGUAGGCGGCCUCACAGGUCCGUUGUGAAAACUGAAGGCUUAACCUUCAGACGUCGACGGAAACCGUGUGGCUAGAGUCCGGAAGAGGAGAGUGGAAUUCCUGGUGUAGCGGUGAAAUGCGCAGAUAUCAGGAAGAACACCAAUGGCGAAGGCAGCUCUCUGGGACGGUACUGACGCUGAGACGCGAAAGCGUGGGGAGCGAACAGGAUUAGAAACCCCUGUAGUCC
rnacentral:rRNA from 1 species